AGAGUUUGAUCAUGGCUCAGGAUGAACGCUGGCGGUAUGCCUAACACAUGCAAGUCGAACGAUGUCUUCGGACAUAGUGGCGGACGGGUGAGUAACGCGUGAGAAUCUGCCUCUAGGAUGGGGAUAACGGUUGGAAACGACCGCUAACACCCAAUAUGCCGUAAGGUGAAAAAUUUAUUGCCUGGAGAGGAGCUCGCGUCUGAUUAGCUAGUUGGUGGGGUAAGAGCUCACCAAGGCCUCGAUCAGUAGCUGGUCUGAGAGGAUGAGCAGCCACACUGGGACUGAGACACGGCCCAGACUCCUACGGGAGGCAGCAGUGGGGAAUUUUCCGCAAUGGGCGAAAGCCUGACGGAGCAAUACCGCGUGAGGGAGGAAUGCCUUUGGGUUGUAAACCUCUUUUCUCAGGGAAGAAGAUCUGACGGUACCUGAGGAAUAAGUAUCGGCUAACUCCGUGCCAGCAGCCGCGGUAAUACGGAGGAUGCAAGCGUUAUCCGGAAUCAUUGGGCGUAAAGCGUCCGCAGGUGGUUUCCAAAGUCUGCUGUUAAAGACUGGAGCUCAACUCCGGAACGGCGGUGGAAACUUGGAAACUAGAGUUCGGUAGGGGUAGCAGGAAUUCCCAGUGUAGCGGUGAAAUGCGUAGAUAUUGGGAAGAACAUCGGUGGCGAAGGCGUGCUACUGGACCGUAACUGACACUCAGGGACGAAAGCUAGGGGAGCGAAAGGGAUUAGAUACCCCUGUAGUCCUAGCUGUAAACGAUGGAAACUAGGUGUGGCUUGUAUCGACCCGAGCCGUGCCGUAGCUAACGCGUUAAGUUUCCCGCCUGGGGAGUACGCACGCAAGUGUGAAACUCAAAGGAAUUGACGGGGGCCCGC
rnacentral:rRNA from 1 species